rnacentral:sRNA from 1 species
UGGAGGCGUGGUCUCGUCAUUUGGUGGA